GUGCACUGAGUUGAGUGAAAAUGGGCUUCCCCUCAUAAAGGUGAUGCCCACCAUGCUGCCACUGAAGCAGCAUGGCAGAAGAAGUGGUUGUGGAAGCCACUGUGGGAGGAAAGCGGGAAUGACUCUCUGGAAGACAUGUCAAAGGCUCAUUAGAAUGACAGAGCUUCUCUGGCUCUGGACACUGUGGUUUUUCCAGGGUUAUUUAUGAAGAAGGUGUGGCCAGACAAAUGCUGGAGCAAGGGAAACUGUCCAACAGAACAAGAUGUUCUCCUGGCACAGUGGGAAACCUGAUGCUUCUUUCAAGAGUCAGUGGAUAAGACCAACCUUAAACCUGUGCAGCAGGGAGGACUUCCACACAAGGAUGCAUUUUUUGCACCUAGGAAGUCACUGAUGUUUUCCAUGUGUCGCAGUGUUGCCAUGAACCUGUAUUUGGUGUCUCUGCUUGUUCCACUGCGCUGAAUUGAGAAAUGGACGUGGUCCGUAGCUCCUGUUAGAUUAAACUGUUCAGACCACUUGGCUCUGUUGGUUUUGGCAAACUUACCUAGAGUCUUGCAAGGGCCAGGUUCACCCCCACAUAUCCAGAUCAGCAAAACGUUUGCUGUUCUCUGAAGCAAUUGCUGGUGAUGACAUAUUUUGUGACAGGAAAUCAUUGCAAAAUGCUUGGUUCUCAAGAUGAAAACCAUGCAUCCAGCUCAGAAAAAUAAAUGCGACCGGUAUGUUCUAAACAUAGAUUUCUUCAGAUUUUGUUCUAGGACAAAAAUCAACCCCACUUUUCAGGACUUAUUGUUCUAAUCAUUAACGCCUGGGCAAUCAGUACAUCUGUUACUGUUACAAUCUCUGAUUUUCCACUGGAAAAAAAAAAAAGAGAAAAGUUAAAGUUUAACCACAGCCAUUGAGUUUGCCCACGCCAAUCAAACAGGAGACAAGGCAUUACAAUAUCUCAGUAACUUGUUCCGUGGAUAAUUCCCCUGGCAAUAUUAAGGAAUUAAAUGCAAGACUGGUAGAUCCAUUAGUAUUGUUUAGAUUUGCAAAGCAUAACAGAAGUUCAAACUGCCUUGAAUGACUGCCUCUUUACGAGGCUACUGGAGGUAGCCCUCUCACCAUGGCUCCUGAUGGAAUGACCAAGGAAGAGCUGCGAGGUAAGCAAACACAACAUCUUCCUACAGAACACCCAAAAAGGAAGCAAUAGAGAAUGACAAGGCAGGAGUUCCCUGUGCAGGAACAUGUCUACGGGUGCAUGUUGGAGCAGACCCGCUCAGCGUCUGAUUAAGAUAUUUGAAGUUUAGGGUGAUAUAUGAAAAGUAAACAGACAAAUGAAAAGCCUUACACGAACAAAGCACACCCCACCACCCCCCUUCCGCUGAGCUCCUUAAAGCUUUGUUCUACCAGGGAAUAGUACCAGUUUCCCAAUUCACUGCCACCUUACGGCAUUUCAGAGAGAUGACACUUCAGUAAUUCCUAUUGGAUGCUUCCUAUUUUCAAGCAGCCUCGCUGGGAACUCGGUUGUUACAGAAACACGGCAGCUGUAAACCUGCCCCUUGCAGCCAGGUUUGGAACAAUAUCAGUGCCUGAGACGCUGGAUUAUACAAGCUUGUGAAAACCGAUCAUUAAAACGUCAAUUCUAUUUAUAUUUGCAGAUUCUCAAGGGAGGUCAUUUCAUCAGCCAAGAGGCUGAAAAUAAAGAUGAACUUUGCAAUGUUGUCAAAAGAGAACCUUUCAGUCUAAAAAAAAGACUCAUGCCUCUCCCGAAUGAUUUUAAUUGUCAGCCCAGUUUUGCAAUGGAGGAUGAAAGAUUAACAGAUGCCCUUAUCACGUGUUGAGGGUUUUUCUGAGAGUAGACUUAGCUAAGGGAAGAAUCUGUGAGAAGACUAACAGAAAUGGAAGAUGCUUUGUAGUUUUCCCACCCCUUCAACUACAUAUAAUCCUCCUUUAAGCACACUUGUGUGGUUUCCUAGUCGAUGAGCAGACACUAGACUUGAAUGGACAGGCUUUGGAGAGUUGGUUGGUUAAUUAUUACUUGGAAAUGUGGGCAGGAUUGCCUAAUAGGAAACAGAGCAGCUGGGAUAUUUGUCCUGUGCAUUCCCCAAGUGCAUGGAUAGACUUGGCAUUCAGAAAAGCAACAUUAGCAGCAACCAAGAGUUCUGGGCUUGAUACGGGUUGUUUUGGUACUGAAGAGGAAACUGGGUGAUUUUAGGGAAGGGUUAUACCAUAUACAGGAGGACAAGCAUAAAGCUGUUUUCCUGAGGUAAACCUGUUCUCUGUAAGUGAAUGAAAUUGGUUUCCAUCUUCAGGUUGUACACUCGUUAUAAAGCUGGAAGGAAUAUUUUUCAA